AUGCAAGUCGAACGGAGUUAUAUUGUAGCUUGCUAUAAUAUAACUUGGUGGCCGACGGGUGAGUAAUGUAUAGGAAUCUACCUAGUACUACGGAAUAAUUGUUGGAAACGGCAACUAAUACCGUAUACCCCCUACGGGGGAAAAAUUUAUUGCUAUUAUAUGACCCUAUAUUAUAUUAUCUAUUUGGUGGGGUAAUGGCUUACCAGGGCAGUGAUCUAUAUCUGAUCUGAGAGGAUGAUCACCCACACUGGAACUGAUAUACGGUCCACACUCCUACGGGAGGCAGCAGUGGGGAAUAUUGGACAAUGGGCGAAACCCUGAUCCCCCCAUGCCGCAAGAGUGAAAAAGGCCUUUGGGUUGUAAAGCUCUUUUAGUGAAGAAUAUAAUGACUGCUCUCACAGAAAAAGUCCUGGCUAACUCCGUGCCAGCACCCGCGGUAAUACGGAGAGGGCUAGCGUUAUUCAAAAUUAUUGGGCGUAAAGAGCGCGUACGCUGGUUAGUAAGUUAAAAGUGAUAUCCCAGAUCUCAACUUUGGAAUUGCUUUUAAAACUGCUCACCUAGAUAUUGAAAGAAGAUGGAAGAAUUCCUAGUGUAGAGGUGGAAUUCAUAAAUAUUAAGAAGAACCCCUGUGGCAAGCGCCUCUAUCGGGUUCAUAUCUGACUCUGAGGCGCGAACGCGUGGGGAGAAAGGGAUUAGAUACCCUGGUAGUGCACGCGGUAAACGAUGAAUGUUAAAUAUGGGAAGUGUAUAUUCUGUAUUACAGCUAACGCGUUAUACAUUCUGCGCGGGGAGUACGGUCGCAAGAUUAUAACUCAAAGGAAUAGACGGGGACCCGCACAAGCGGUGGAGCAUGUGGUUUAUUUUGAUGCAACGCGAAAAACCUUACCACUCCCUGACAUGGAAAUUAUACCUAUUUGAAAAAAUAGGGUCGGUUCGGCCGGAUUUCACACAGGUGUUGCAUGGCGGUGUUCAGCUCGUGUCUUGAGAUGUUGGGUUAAGUCCCGCAACGAGAGUAACCCUCUUCUCUAGUUGCCAUCAGGUAAUGCUGAGCACUUUAAGGAAAAUGCUAGUGAUAAAAAGGAGGAAGGGGGGGAGGAGGUCAAGUCUUCAUGGCCCCUAUGGAGUGGGGUACACACAUGCUACAAUGGUGGGUACAAUGGGCUGCAAAGUCUCGAGGCCAAGCUAAUCCUUUAAAAGCCAUCUCAGUUGGGAGGGUACUAUUCAACAAGAGGGCAUCAAGUAGAAUCGCUAGUAAUAAGGAUCAGCAAGCCACGCAGAAUACGUUAUCGGGUCGGGU
rnacentral:rRNA from 1 species